GCACAGCCAACCACAUCUAAGGGAUCCACCAAAAAUGUCCUAUACUUGACAAACUUUGAAAGGAAUAAUGCAGAAAAAGGAAUUAAUCCUGAAGUAUCUACUGAAAACUAUGCACAGCCAACCACAUCAAAAGGAACCACGAAAAAUGUGCUAUACUUGACAAACUUUAAAAGUAUUAAUGAAGAAACAGGAAUUCAUCCUGAAGUAUCUUUGGAAAAUUAUGCACAGCCAACCACAUCUAAGGGAUCCACCAAAAAUGUCCUAUACUUGACAAACUUUGAAAGGAAUAAUGCAGAAAAAGGAAUUAAUCCUGAAGUAUCUACUGAAAACUAUGCACAGCCAACCACAUCAAAAGGAACCACGAAUAAUGUGCUAUACUUGACAAACUUUAAAAG